UCCUUAGAUGUUCUGGGCAGCACGCGCGCUACAAUGGUCUUCGCAAACGGAUGCAUUCUCGAAGGAGAAUGCCAAUCUUGGAAUCUAUGCCUUGGUCGGGACAGUUGCUUGCAAUUUUUCGACUCGAACCAGGAAUUCCUUGUAAUCGUGAUUCAUCACAUCACGAUGAAUACGUCCCUGCCCUUUGUACACACCGCCCGUCGCUCCUACCGAUCGAAGAGCUAGGUGAAUUGUUUUGAUCGAUAAGAUUUGACUAUGGUCAACUCUCGUUGUGAAAUUCUGUGAAUCUGACUGUUUAGAGGAAGGAAAAGUCGUAACA
rnacentral:rRNA from 1 species